AGUGAACGCUGGCGGUAGGCCUAACACAUGCAAGUCGAACGGCAGCACAGUAAGAGCUUGCUCUUACGGGUGGCGCGUGGCGGACGGGUGAGGAAUACAUCGGAAUCUACUUUUUCGUGGGGGAUAACGUAGGGAAACUUACGCUAAUACCGCAUACGACCUACGGGUGUAAGCAGGGGAUGUUCGGACCUUGCGCGAUUGAAUGAGCCGAUGUCGGAUUAGCUAGUUGGCGGGGCAAAGGCCCACCAAGGCGACGAUCCGUAGCUGGUCUGAGAGGAUGAUCAGCCACACUGGAACUGAGACACGGUCUAGACUCCUACGGGAGGCAGCAGUGGGGAAUAUUGGACAAUGGGCGCAAGCCUGAUCCAGCCAUACCGCGUGGGUGAAGAAGGCCUUCGGGUUGUAAAGCCCUUUUGUUGGGAAAGAAAAGCAGCAGGUUAAUACCCCGCUGUUCUGACGGUACCCAAAGAAUAAGCACCGGCUAACUUCGUG
rnacentral:rRNA from 1 species